rnacentral:rRNA from 1 species
GACGAGGGACCUAGCGUUGUUCGGAAUCAUUGGGCGUAAAGCGGAUGUAGGUGGCUUUGUAAGUCAGGUGUGAAAGCCCAGAGCUCAACUCUGGAAGUGCAUUUGAUACUGCGAAGCUUGAGUGUGGAAGAGGUAAGUAGAAUACCUGGUGUAGUGGUGAAAUACGUAGAUAUCAGGUGGAAUACCGGAGGCGAAGGCGGCUUACUGGUCCAACACUGACACUGAGAUCGAAAGCGUGGGGAUCAAACAGG